rnacentral:lncRNA from 1 species
GCAAGGAAAAUAGCUGCCCAUGUCAAAGGAAGGUCCGAUGGAAUGCCACAGGGUGGCACUGAUACCUUCUGCUAGAAAAGCAGGUGGUUGAGUGAGCUCUCACCUGCCAAUCCCCAUGGGGAAGUCUGGAAUGGCCAGAGCUGGCCUUGGCUACUGCUCCUCAGCCUACAGGACAAGGAGCCUCUAGGUCUCGCCAUGCCUGGAAUCCUUUGUGGGGUGUGCAAAACAAGUCCCCUGGGACCCUCCGGUGCCGACGGUGGGAUGAGUCCUCCCACCCUUGCAGAGAAUGGGCCCCAACACGGCAGGGCUUGGGCCACCUUCCUCCUUCCUCCUUCUUCAUCCCCUGCCCGGUCCAGAGAGCCAACGCCACUUUCUUCAGCCACAGACAACCUCUGCCAUAGGGAAAUCCUUUUUUCGUGUCGACUUUUAAUUCACUGACUUGUGAAGAGUGGAGAGAGCGACUGAAGGCCCACCACUUGCAAGGCACUGCACCCUUGUCCUGUGCUUUCCAGGCCACAGGAAGCAGCUCCCUCUUCGGCAUGGAGAAUUUCUGCAUCAUCACCAUGGCCAGAGUCCAGCCCUGGCCUGCGAGGAAGGCCCCGGGCGGCGGAAUGGCCCAGGUGGGGCUGGAAGGGCUUGGAAGGCCUUGGAAGUGGUCAUUAAUGGAGGACAGAGCGGUGCUCGUGCAGACGGGGAGUGGAAAGUGCUGAGGCUGCCAAAAUGGAAAGUGCCUGUUAAUAGCACGCGUGACGCCUCAUAGCUCACUCGCUGACACGUGGAACCCUGGGCUUCCUGCACAACGCAGCCUGCAUGCUAAUGAUGCCAGGAGCAGCUUGCCUGGCCCUGGGGAGCUGCUCUCCGGGCUGCUUGCUUACGUGACACUGCAAAGAUCAAGGCCCAGAACAGUAGGAUGUGGAGAAGAAGGAAUCUAUUUCUGCAACCCCUUUUUCCCGCGGUCUGCACAUGAGACCUGGAGUGACGAUGACAGGAGACAGAAAGGAAGGAGCUUAUCACGGGCAUCAAAGCUGCAUCCCAGUGCUGCAAAGAUGCUGCCGGUCCCGUUGCACCACAGAGGGAACUCCUGAACCCGAGGAUCAAACCUUAAGGAGAAAAUCCAGCCAGGAAUUAAAGGAGAUACGGAGGAAGUAUCGUGGCCUUGCUGGUCCCAUUGAGGAAAGCUUAUAGGUAACUUCCCAUAAUUCCCUAACAGUGAGAGCAGUGACACCAUGGCAAUGGCCACAGACCACCUCACUUUAGGGAUGUUAUCCUUCAGAGUUUAAAGUGAGGAAGACAAAGAGGCUCAAGAAAAGUGAUCAAUGGAGUUCCUGUUGUGGCGCAGUGGAAACGAAUCCGACUAGCAACCGUGAGGUUGUGGGUUUGAUCCCUGGCCUCGCUCAGUGGGUUAAGGAUAUGGCAUUGCUGUGAACUGCGGUAUAGGUCGCAGACACGGCUCGGAUCCCGCGUGGCUGUGGCUGUGGCGUUAGCUGGACCUCUAGCUGGGAGCCUCCAUAUGUAGCAGGUGCGACCCUAAAAAGCAAAAAAAAAAAAAAAAAAAAAAAAA